rnacentral:rRNA from 1 species
AUGAACGCUGACAGAAUGCUUAACACAUGCAAGUCGAUGGGGAAGUGGUGCUUGCACCAUGGUAACCAUGGCGGACGGGUGAGUAACGCGUAAGGAACUUACCUGCGGGACCGGGAUAACAGCAGGAAACUGCUGACAAGACCGGAUAAGGUCAUUAAGCUGCAUAGCUUAGUGAUGAAAGGAGACGCCUGCGGAGAGCCUUGCGUCCUAUUAGCUAGUUGGAGGGGUAACGGCCCACCAAGGCGAAGAUAGGUAGCCGGCCUGAGAGGGUGGACGGCCACAAGGGGACUGAGAUACGGCCCUUACUCCUACGGGAGGCAGCAGUGGGGAAUAUUGGACAAUGGGGGCAACCCUGAUCCAGCAAUUCUGUGUGCACGAAGACGGUUUUCGGAUUGUAAAGUGCUUUCAGCAGGGAAGAAGGAAGUGACGGUACCUGCAGAAGAAGCGACGGCUAAAUACGUG